rnacentral:rRNA from 1 species
UACAGAGGGUGCGAGCGUUGUUCGGAAUUAUUGGGCGUAAAGGGCGCGUAGGCGGUGCGGUAAGUCACCUGUGAAAUCUCCUGGCUCAACUGGGAGCUUGCAGGCGAAACUGCCGUGCUGGAGUGUGGGAGAGGUGCGUGGAAUUCCUGGUGUAGCGGUGAAAUGCGUAGAUAUCAGGAGGAACACCGGUGGCGAAGGCGGCCUGCUGGGCAGUAGCUGACGCUGAGGCGCGACAGCUAGGGGAGCAAACGGG